UAUUAUUUCUUAUGGGAAAAAUAUUCUUGACUUACAACCAACUUGAGUUACAACCAGCCUUUGAGAAUUAACUGAGUUCGUAAGUCCAAGGGUCCUGUAUUAUAUUGUAUGAUUAUAACAUAUUUUACUUAUCCAUGCAUCAGUUAAUGGUUUGUUUCCAUUUUGGGGAUAUUACAAAUAAUAUUCCUAUGAACAUUUGUGAACAGUUGCUGUAUAGAUGUUUUCAUUUCUCUUAAACAUACACCUAGGUUAUAUGGUAAAUCUGUGUUUAAUUUUGUUUUUAAAAAUUAUCCAACUGUUCUCUAAAGCAGUUAUUUUCUACCAGCAAGUUGCAAGGGCUCCAAUUUCUCCACCUUACUCUCAACAAUUGUUAUUAACUUUAAUUAAUUUAUUUUUUUUUACUAUAGCCAUCCUAGUGGAUAUGAAGUGGUAUUUGUGGUUUUGAUUCGCAUUUCUCUAAUGGCUAAUGAUGUUAAGCAACUUCUCAUGGGCUUAUUGUCCAACUGUAUAUCUUCUGUGCCUAUUCAGAUUCUUUGCCUAUUUAAAACUUGGACUGUCUGUUUGAUUCUAUUUUUCCUGUUUUAACAGUGAGUAAAGUACAAUGAAUGUAAUUACUAUUAGCUAACUAUUGGAUUUGCAGAUUCACUGAGUGCUAAAGAUAAUCUAUAAGGCCUUGACAUAAAGCUAUAUUGUUAUUUUGCCAAAGCAUUUUAUUUUAUAUUUUGCUGAUGUAUGUGUUUAAAUCAUGUAUUAUAGAAACACUGUAAAGAGUGUUCUCUAGCUAGUGAAAUUAAACCAAAAAAGAAGCCUUCAAAUCUUCAAAUGACUUUAUUUUAUCUACCAUGCUGGGAAUACAAUUAUAUGCUAAAGUGCAAACCUCAUUUGAAAUGUGUUCCUCUAAGGUCCAACAUUAGCACAAAGGCUUAUUAAAAGCAAAAAAUACCUGUUCAGAACCAAGAAUAACUGAAAAGAAUUAAACUACUUCAAAUCUCUCAAAGAACAUCAAAUGCAAACGAGAUCUAAUUAAAGUCCCAUGGAAAAACUUAGCCCCUCCUGCCUUCUUUUCCCUCUCAAUCUUUCCUAAGAGACCACAUUUAAGGGCUUUUGUUUUGCCUUUUCUCCAUCUCGCCAUUUGCCAUUAUCUAUUUAUUUCCAUGUUUUAACAGACAAGUUGUACAUUUGUAGCCCACAGGUCUUAUUUGACCUAUGCAUGCAGAAAAACAGAGGAGACUGCCCCCCAAAAUAAAAUAAAAUAGGUAUAAAGCAAUAUCAAGGAAACAUCUGAUAAGGAAAUGCAGUGUCAAUUACUUUCCAUAAAUAACAUACAUCCUCAAAUGAUGAAUCCAGAGAAAACUGUUAAUUCUCUGGGUCUUGUCUCUUGUUGGGUUAUGAUGUGAGAAAAAAAAGUUCUACAUAUUCCAGUCUGUUUCUUUGUUCUGUCCUUUAAUUAUUUACUUGUAUUUCUCAAAAGCCUCAAAUAUUUUAGAGAUAUGAAGAAAAUUUUGUGGUCUUUAGUAUUUGCUACAAUUUUCCUUCUAAACAAAAGAAUUCUCCCAGCACCUUGAAAACAGAGAGAUUUCAUUAAAAAGACAAACAAAAAGCCAGACCACAAAAACAUCAAAGCUGCAUUUGCAAUAUAUGUACAUACUUAGGCUUUCAGGUUACAUUUUAGUGAAGGGGAGUAAUGGCUGCAAUUUGCAAAACAAGACUGGUCCUCUUAAGGUGGUUAUAUACUCAUUAUUGCACAACUGACGUCUACUACUUUUUAACUAAGUAUUUUUAGAAAACAGAUCUGCAAGAGCUAGAGAGAGGGGAGAGAGAUUUUUUAAAAAUUAAGGCAUGUUAUGUACGUGUACCAAUUCCCUACAAGGAAUAUGAUCAUUAGGUAAAACAAUAGGAAAUAAGAGUUGUCAGUGUGGGUGGCCACAUGUGGGACAGCCACAUGUGGGGCAGCCAUCCUCAAACAAUUGGAGCUGACAAGAAGGGCCUACUGUGUGCAGACAUGCUCUUAUGUCUAUCUGCAGAUUCUAACCUCCAGACAACUGGAUGAUGUAGGCACUGCAGUAACCCUCUGUGAGUGAAGAGGAAGCCAAGGAAGAGAGAGAUUGGUCCACACAGUUGACCCAGGGAUUCCAAUCCAGCCAGGAUAGUCCAGAGUCCAGGCAAGGACCAAGAAGCCGCUCCUCUGUCAGACCACCUGGCCACUUGCAAGAAGAGCCAGGCUGUACUGGCUUAGGGCACCGCCCUUACCUGGGAGCCUCAGAUAUAAACUGGGGGAGGGGAGAUUAGUGUGGUGGGCAGAGUUUCACUUAGUUACAGCAGGAGCAACUCACUCCACACAGAGGACAAAAUUGCAGGCUGAAAGCUGAAUUCCAGAGAUCUGACCAGGUGGGCCAGUAGGGGCUGUUGCACCCUGCAUGCCAGUUAACUAAAACUGCUUGUGGCUCUAGCCAGUAGCUGGGCUCACAUACUGCACUGUCCUGACUGCAGUAUAUACUAUACUCCAGCCUCCAAGCUGCCUGAAAACUUGUUCACACUUUAACCCUAACCCUCCAUUCCACUGCUCACUGGUGCGCCAAGGCAGCAGUUAAGGAGGUAAGCUAGAAGGUGUCUUAAAAAUAAUAGUGCUAUAGAAGAAUUUUGCCAAGGGACCAAAUUGUAACCUUGCUGCUGGCAUUCACACUGACAUUUGGAUCCCAGCAGCUCCUGAAUCCUGGCAUUGUCCCCGGAGCUACAUAAUCAGAGAGGCAAACAAAAGCUCCUCAGAGUCAGCACCGCAGUGCUGUCCUGAGGGUGGGAAACACAGGAAAAAUCAACCCAGGAGAAGUCCCUGAAAGUAGACCGUUUCCCCAGAAUGGCUCUUGUUCAAGUGAUGAGAGCUCCCAUGUUAGGACCCAGAAGUGAGACUCACAGGCCUUGCCCCCAGAGUGGCCAGGUAGGCUGCAGUGACAGUGAGCAGCAGUGUUGCAGAGGCCAUGUAAUAAAGGGACUACAGGAGUCAGUUCACGGUCAAAUGUGCUCGUUGCAAAGCCUGCUUUCCCUUUUUGCCAUGAGAUAUUUUCCUGAGGACUUCUUAACAUUCAUCAUUAGAUUCUGAAAAAUUCCAACUCUAACACAAACUUCUUUACCCAUGUUGCCUACCUUAGCGACCUGGCAUGAGGAUAUGAUAACUCCUAAAUGUGUGUCUCCCACACCAGGCCCUGCUGGCGCUCCCAAGCUGGACACAGAGCCAUGGAUGGACUCUCCAUAAGGCUUCUAAUCACAUCUCGCAGUGUGUCAGGCUCUGCCUACACCUCCCAGGUUUCUGCUUUUGACAGGUUAUAUGUUCCUGAGACCAUCGGCCCUGGCUACAUCUUUUGGUACAUAUAGCACUGUGGCUCACAAUAAGAGGUGCUUGGCUCCACUUUAAAGACCACCUUCAGUAAAACCACCCUCUCAGCCCAGCGCAUGUGAUGCACACCUGGUGAAGAAUAUGGAACUUGCCUCUAUGGAAAAUGAAAAUGAAAAUUUAAGGAUAAAGAUGAAUCUCAUUUUGAAACUAUAUUAAGAGAGCAAAUCUAGGGUUUAACCAUCUUUAAAUGGACUUAAUUUGCUUCUAGUGAGUGCCGGAAACACUUGAAAAGCCUACAUGUUAACUUUUGCAUAACGGUUUGUUCUGGUUCUUUCCUCCCUUUUUAAUGUAAUUGCAAUUACACAACAUAGAUCUUUUAUUCUGAUUUCCCAAGUACUGUACUGCUAUUGUGCCGCCUUCUCUUUCUGGCAGUCAGGAUGCUUUUGGCCAAGGUGGUUUGCAUGUAUUGCCUACAUUGCCACAAAACAAUGACCAAAAUCAGGUUAUUCACAUCAACACAAUACUGUUAUAAGCGACAGACCUUAUUCAAAUUUUGUCAGUUAUCUUAUGUUCUGUAUGGAAAAACUUGGAGCUGAGUGUGGUGACAUGUGUCUGAAUUCCCAGUUACUUGGGAGGCUGAG